CCACCGGAGGCAAGGCCCCAGCACCCAAGGGUUGCCUCUGGUUGCCCCACCCCCACCGGGGCCCUCCUUGGCUAGACAGUGGGGGUGGGGAGGCGGGGCGUGUCUCCCGAGAGCAGGGUGUGGCCAGUGGUCCAGAUGGUCACUCACUGAUGGCCCUCCUGUCCCGACCCGGGAGAGAUCCCCCUACCCCACACCAUGCCGGCGGGCCGGGUGGGCUGAGGGUGCGGAGACCCAGAGACCCCGAGACCGCAGCCCGCUGGCGGAGCUCAGAAGCAGGCUUGGGGAGGUGCUGCGGCUCCGGGCUGUCAGCGCCCGCCACCCUCCCGGCUUCACUUCCUCCAGCAGCCCCUGCAGCCCCGGAGGCCCGGGAUCCCAGCGGUGCGCGGCCCCGGACGCCGAGCCCUAGGCUCGGCCGCCCUGCGGGGCCUCAGCUGGACCUCCUAUCCCUACCCAGGCUGGGAAGAAGAAGGAGCUUCUGACAGCUCUGUCACCAAGGUUUGAGCCGGACAGAGCAGCCUCCUCACCCUAGGAUGGCCUCACCCUCCAGCCCUCCGGCAUUCAGGCUCCAGACAUGGGAUGGAGACCAAGAAGAUGGCAGUGAGGCGGACAGAGGAAAGCCCGGCCACGGGGAUGGGCCACCCCCCAUGGAGUCGCCGUUCCAGGGGGAGGACCAGAAGUCCUCCCCUCAGAUCAAAGUGAACCUCAAAUACCGCAAACCAGAAGGUGUCAGCAUCAGACACAAGUCACAUCCCCACAGCCAGCCGGACCCAAACCGCUUUGACCGUGAUCGGCUCUUCAGCGCAGUUGCCCGGGGUGUCCCCAAGGAUCUGGCUGGGUUACCAGAGUACCUGUCCCGGACCAGCAAGUACCUCACCGACCAAGAGUACACAGAGGGCUCCACGGGCAAGACGUGCCUGAUGAAGGCUGUGUUGAACCUUCGGGAUGGAGCCAACGCCUGCAUCCUGCCAUUGCUCCAGAUCGACCGGGACUCUGGCAAUCCCCAGCCCCUGGUCAAUGCCCAAUGCACGGAUGAGUACUACCGAGGCCACAGCGCCCUGCACAUUGCCAUCGAGAAGAGGAGCCUGCAGUGUGUGCAGCUCUUGGUGGAGAAUGGGGCCAAUGUGCAUGCCCGGGCCUGCGGCCACUUCUUCCAGAAAAAGAGCCAGGGGACUUGCUUCUACUUUGGCGAGCUGCCACUCUCCCUGGCCGCGUGCACCAACCAGUGGGAGGUGGUGACCUACCUGCUAAAAAACGAGCAUCAGCCCGCCAGCCUGCAGGCCGCCGACUCCCUCGGCAACACGGUGCUGCAUGCCUUGGUGAUGAUCGCAGACAACUCAACUGAGAACAGCGCCCUGGUGAUCGACAUGUAUGACAGGCUUCUCCGCGAGGGGGCCCACCUCUGCCCCACAGUGCAGCUCGAGGACAUCCCCAACCUGCAGGGACUCACACCCCUGAAGCUGGCCGCCAGGGAGGGCAAAAUCGAGAUUUUCAGGCACAUCUUGCAGCGGGAGUUCCCAGAGCCGUGCCAGUCACUUUCUCGCAAGUUUACGGAGUGGUGCUACGGGCCAGUCCGGGUGUCAUUGUAUGACCUGGCCUCUGUGGACAGCUGGGAGGAGAACUCAGUGCUGGAGAUCAUUGCCUUUCAUUGCAGAAGCCCGGACCGGCACCGAAUGGUGAUUUUAGAGCCACUGAACAAGCUGUUGCAGGCGAAGUGGGAUCUGCUAAUCCCCAAAUUCUUCUUCAACUUCCUGUGUUACUUGAUCUACACGGUCCUCUUCACCUUGGUUGCCUACCACCAGCCGGCUCUGGAGAAGGCCUUCUUCCCCCAGGAAGUGACUGCUAGAGACUCCCUGCUGCUGUUUGGCCACAUCCUGAUUCUGCUUGGGGGCGUCUAUAUCCUCGUGGGCCAGCUGUGGUAUUUCUGGAGGCGCCGUCUCUUCAUCUGGAUCUCCUUCGUGGACAGCUACUUUGAGCUGCUGUUCCUGGUCCAGGCCCUGCUCACGGUGCUGUCCCAGGUGCUGUGCUUCCUGGCCGUGGAGUGGUACCUGCCUCUGCUUGUGUCCUCGCUGGUGCUGGGCUGGCUCAACCUGCUUUACUAUACACGUGGCUUGCAACACACAGGCAUCUACAGUGUCAUGAUCCAGAAGGUCAUCCUGCGGGACCUGCUCCGCUUCCUGCUCGUCUAUUUAGUCUUCCUUUUUGGCUUCGCUGUAGCCCUGGUGAGCCUGAGCCGGGAAGCCCAGGACCCCAGGGGCCCCAGGGGCCCCAAUGCCACGGAGGCAGCAGCACAGCCUGGGGCAGGAGGGACGGAGGAGGAGGGCAGCUCCACCCCAUACGGCGGCAUCCUGGACGCUUCCUUGGAGCUGUUCAAGUUCACGAUCGGCAUGGGUGAGCUGGCCUUCCAGGACCAGCUGCGCUUCCGCGGGGUCGUGCUCCUGCUGCUGCUGGCCUAUGUGCUGCUCACCUACAUCCUGCUGCUCAACAUGCUCAUCGCCCUCAUGAGCGAGACCGUCAACAGUGUCGCCUCUGACAGCUGGAGCAUCUGGAAGCUGCAGAAAGCCAUCUCCGUCCUGGAGAUGGAGAAUGGCUACUGGUGGUGCAGGAGGAAGAAGCAGCGGGCUGGUGUGAAGUUGACCGUUGGCACCAGGCCGGAUGGCAGCCCCGAUGAGCGCUGGUGCUUCAGGGUGGAGGAGGUGAACUGGGCCUCGUGGGAGCAGACACUGCCGUCCCUUUGUGAGGAGCCCUCAGGGCCAGCAGUCCCUGGCACCUUGAAGAAUCCAGCCCCAGCCUCCCAAGUAGAGGAGGACACUGCCUCAGAGGAAGAUCAGCUGCCACUCCAGCUCUUAAAGUCCCAGUAAUGGCCCAGAUUCGGGACAGAGUCAGGGGACCUUCCCAGCCCUACCUGGUGGCUCUGGGCCCCCAGGGAACUUCGGUAGCAAAUAACAGCCUCUGCGGUGCCGACAGCUUCAUUUACCACACGAGCCAUCGGAAGCUCACACAGGCUGAGAAAUGUCCUCCACACCACGGAGAUAAGGAGGUACGCUCCAGCCCCCGCGCAUGCGCCCUGAACACCCCGGGCGCCGCGGGACCCAGAAUUCCCGGGGACGUGGAAGAGACCAUAGGCUCUAACGGAGGGGGGUGUCACCGGGUGGUGAGACGGAGUCUGCAUCGUGAAAUGAGCUGGAAGUUCCCGUGAGUCUCUGCCAGUAUUACCCUCCCUUCUGUGAAGAAUGGAAUAUUCCGACUCCUUAAAGGCCCAGGCCGCAAAAGAGACGAUCUUUUCCGUACGGUGAAAAUGGAGGGCCGCUGCCGCCGUCGACUCCGGAGCCCGAGGUCCCCGAAGGCCGGUUCCCUGCUCCCCGGACGGGGCGUGGGAGGUGCGCCAACCCGGGAGGACUGGGUAGGCGCGGCCCGGGGGAGCGUGGGGCAUGGGACAUCGAGGAGGGCUUGCCCGACGGUGCUGAUGAUCCUGGGGUUAGGAAGUGCCGUCAGAAGCGAUAAUUGACGACUCUGAUGCUUGUCUGACCGUGGUCGCGGAAGCCUCAACGGUCGGGUUGAACAGCACUUUAACUACGUGCCCUUAACGCCUGUCGCCCUCCCGUGUUCCAGGUGGCACAUCCCUUGCAGCGCCUUCAGGCCAGGAGCGGUCUCCCACCCGGAGGUAGGACCCAGUGUGGGCAGGACUUACGCCAACCCCUAACGUCGCUUUUCCGUGUUCGUUGGUCUGAGUGCACCGGCAUUGGCUGCCCCUUCACGGUUGAUGAAUUGGGCAGUAAUUGUGCCCCUCUGCACUGCACACGUAGCCUGGCGCUUGGAGUGGCAAUGGCAGGGCGCGGCUGCUGACCCUGAGCUGUUCUACCACAGCUGUCGCCAGAGGUUGCACAUGAGUGCUGCGGGGUCACCGGUGUGUGAUCAGAUCGAGACCAGCUGCUGAGUGUUCGAGGGAGGAGCACUGGCCUGCCGUUAAGGGAUGCCUCGGUUCAUUCCCCUCUGGGUUUUGUGUGCUGAAGAACGGUGAUCGCGGUGUGGAGUUUGAAAGCUGGUGGCGGCUGCAGCUCAGCCCAAGGAGAGAGUCCGUCUUUGCAGAGAAUGGUCAGCCAUGCUGCAGCAGUUCAGGGUCCUGUGGUCACCAUCAGUUCGGACUGAAAACCCAGGCUUCAACAGUUGGUGUGGAAACCGUGCUUACCUUGUGCUGAGAUGCGGAGUCUGUUCUCUUAAAAGUGAACCAACUCUUUUUGGCUCUUAAUCUUAAAAGCAGAGCCAACAAGUGUGUUUGGCAAACUGUAGGGUAAGCACUGUUGGUGUCAUUGAAUUCUUGAGUUUUCUAGUAAUGUACUAUAAAUACUGUAUUUUUAUCUUUCCUACCCAGAGAGCUUCUAUAGUUUUAAAUACUGUAUGAAUUUGUUCUGUUGGGUAAGGGUCUGAGUUCUUUAAGAUGCAAACAUAUUUCUUCUGAAACUGAUACUUAUGUGCAAUUACCACAAACUGCAAUAAAGGAUGGUCUUUAGUA